AAAGCGUGGGGAGCAAACAGGAUUAGAUACCCUGGUAGUCCCACGCCGUAAACGAUGUCUACUUGGAGGUUGUGGCCUUGAGCCGUGGCUUUCGGAGCUAACGCGUUAAAGUAGACCGCCUGGGGAGUACGGUCGCAAGAUUAAAACUCAAAUGAAUUGACGGGGGCCCGCACAAGCGGUGGAGCAUGUGGUUUAAUUUCGAUGCAACGCGAAGAACCUUACCUACUCUUGACAUCCAGAGAACUUUCCAGAGAUGGAUUGGUGCCUUCGGGGAACUCUGAGACAGGUGCUGCAUGGCUGUCGUCAGCUCGUGUUGUGAAAUGUUGGGUUAAGUCCCGCAACGAGCGCAACCCUUAUCCUUGUUUGCCAGCGAGUAAUGUCGGGAACUCCAGGGAUCAGGCCGGUGAUA
rnacentral:rRNA from 1 species